rnacentral:rRNA from 1 species
UACGGUAGGUGGCGAGCGUUGUCCGGAUUUACUGGGCGUAAAGAGCGCGCAGGCGGUCGUACAAGUCGCGUGUGAAAGCCCCUGGCUCAACUGGGGAGGGUCACGCGAUACUGUUCGACUCGAAGGCAGGAGAGGGAAGUGGAAUUCCCGGUGUAGUGGUGAAAUGCGUAGAUAUCGGGAGGAACACCAGUGGCGAAGGCGACUUCCUGGCCUGUUCUUGACGCUGAGGCGCGAAAGCUAGGGUAGCAAACGGG